CGGUGAAUCAGUAAAAUACUAAAAUGUAAAUGGUGAUAGAAAUUGAACAGUGCAAAUAGCAAAUUUAAUUAGCCUCGUUAUUUAAUAUGAAAACACAUAAAUGUCACAAUUCGUUAUUAAUUAUAGUGACAAUCGUAUAAUAAAAUUAUUUUUUUUAUUAUUUCCCUGUAUUUUUUAACAUAAUCUAUUCUAAUUUUAUUUAAAACAGUAUUGAAAGGUAGUCACCACCAUGAUUUAAACAACACUAGAGAAUAAAAAUGAACUUUAAAAAAAGGUUUAUCUUAUUACUUCUAUUUAUAGUUCUAAUUAUAUGCUUCAUUUUGUAUUCUCUAUUAGAGAAUCAAAAUAUUUACUCACAAUUUGAAACAGUGAGAACUCCAAUUUCUUAUGUUGAAAAGUUACAAUUACCGUCAAAACACCUCGAUACACAAGACACAAAUAAUUUGGAAAGCAUUGAUAAAAAUAAUGAGCCUGCAGAAACAUCUAGUUUGUUAAUGUCUACAUUACAUAAUAAUGUCGAAGAAGCAUAUUUAUCAAGUGGAAUAUGUGAUCCAAGUAUUAAUAUGUGGGAUUUAUAUGAUAAACUACAAUUCGAUAACAUUGAUGGAGGUGCAUGGAAACAAGGCUGGGAUGUCAAGAUUACUAAAGGACGGUGGAAUGAAAAUAAUAAGUUAAGGAUAUUUGUAGUGCCUCAUUCACAUAAUGAUCCUGGGUGGAAACGAACCUUUGAAGAAUACUAUCGUAGUGAUACUAAGAAUAUUUUAGAUAAUAUGGUUAUUAAAUUAUCAGAAGACAGUAGACGCAAGUUCAUAUGGGCGGAGAUGUCAUAUUUAUCAUUAUGGUGGAAUGAUAUUGACCAAAGUACAAAAAUUAAAGUGAAGAAAUUGAUUGACAAUGGGCAAUUGGAAAUAGUCACUGGAGGUUGGGUAAUGACGGAUGAAGCAAAUACCCACUAUUCAUCAAUGAUCACUCAACUUACAAAUGGACAUCAGUGGCUACUGAGAAAUUUAAAUGUCACUGCCAAUUAUAGCUGGUGUAUCGAUCCUUUUGGUGUGUCUCCAACUAUGCCAUAUAUUUUGAAUAGAAUGAAAUUUUCUAGUUUGGUCAUUCAACGUACUCAUUAUGCUAUUAAAAAGUAUUUGGCAAAACAAAAACAAUUAGAAUUUCUAUGGAGACAACAUUGGGAUACAGAAUGCAAUAGCAAUAAAAAUGAGUUGUUUACACACAUGAUGCCAUUUUACAAUUAUGACAUUCCUCAUACCUGUGGUCCAGAUCCAAGUGUUUGCUGUCAAUUUGAUUUUAAAAGAUUUCCAACAUUUGGGCUUAAUUGUCCUUGGAAAGUGUUUCCAGUACCAAUAACUUCAUCAAAUGUGCACCAAAGAGCAUUAAUGUUAUUGGACCAAUAUAAGAAAAAAGCCGAGUUGUAUAAAACAAAUGUAUUACUUGUUCCUUUGGGGGAUGACUUUAGAUAUACAUCGGCCCGAGAAUGGGAUUAUCAGAUGAACAAUUAUCAAAAAUUAUUUGAUUAUAUCAAUAGCAAUAGUGACUCUUUAUAUGCAGAGGCAUCAUUUGGUACAUUAAGCGAUUAUUUCAAAGCUGUACAAUUGUCAUCUAAUUAUAAGAAUUUUCCAACAUUGACUGGUGAUUUCUUUACUUACGCAGAUAAAGACCAUGAUUACUGGAGUGGAUAUUUCACUUCCAGACCUUUUUACAAAUGCAUGGAUCGAGAACUAGUUGCUAGAUUAAGAGCAGCAGAAAUUUUAUAUUCUUUAGUAUGGCUUAGUGCACCUUCAAAUUUGACUUCCUGGUUAUGGAAACCAAAUUCUGAGUUGUAUAAUUAUUUGCAAGCUGCUAGAGACGCUCAUAGUUUGUUUCAACAUCACGAUGGAAUCACAGGAACAGCAAAAGAUGCUGUAGUAAAUGACUAUGCACAAAAGAUGCUGGAUUCAUUAACUAAUCUAAAUCAUAUCAUUCAACACUGUAUAUAUUUUCUGUUAUACCAAGAAAAGGAACAAUAUGUAUUUGAUACAAACAUUAAGUACUUUGAUGUAGAUCGUUCAAGAGUCUAUACAAACAGUAUUGCACAAUGUCGUGUUAUACAGUUUGCUCAUAAUCAAGAUUCUCAGAGUGUUAUUGUGUUCAACCCUUUGACAUCCAUCAUCAGAAAUGAAAUAAUCACUCUGGUUGUGGCAAGUGAAAAUGUAAAGGUGGUCAAUUCAGAAGGUGCAGAUAUUUCAUUUCAAGUCGAUUCUACCUGUAAUCUUCUAGACACACAGUUAAUGACACCUUGUUUUCAAUUACACUUUAUUGCUGAACUUGGUCCUUUGGAAAUCAAAAAGUAUACUAUCAUCAACUUGCCCACAGACAUUAGUACCAAGAAGUAUAUGUCACUAAUCAGCGUUUAUAACCCAAAAAUCGACGAAGUUUUGGAUCCUAGGAUAUAUAUUAAAACUAGUGCUAUUGAAGAAUUUUCAAUUGAAAAUAAUAAAAUUGUUGUAACAUUUGGUCGAAACGGUAUGUUACAAAAUAUUACUCUUAAAUCUUCUGGAAAACAAUAUCCGGUUUCUUUGAAAUUUGUGCAAUACAAUGUAGCUUAUGGUCCAGACAUGAGUGGUGCUUAUUUAUUCAUGCCAUCAGGGGAUGCUGUUGAUGCCCAUGUCACAGAAAACAAUCCCACAAUUUAUGUGAUUAAAGGACAUAUUUUAUCGCAAGUGGUAAUUCAGUACAGUAAUGUAAAACACUCGGUACUACUCCGUCAUACAAAAGAUGCUAGUGAUGUUGAAAUACGAAAUUUAGUUGAUAUUAGACAACAAAUGAAUUAUGAACUUUCAAUGAGAGUUACCACCGAGGUGAAGAAUGAUAAUAUUUUCCACACAGACUUAAAUGGAUUCCAGAUGACGAGGAGAAAAUAUUACAAAAAACUACCGAUUCAAGGAAACUUUUAUCCAAUGUCUAGUGCAAUGUAUAUAGAAGAUGACACUACUAGAGUAUCGUUAUUAUCAGUCCAACCUUUGGGUGCAUCUUCAUUGUCUAAUGGCCAAAUGGAGGUCAUACAGGAUCGUAGAUUGCGACAAGACGACAAUCGUGGGUUGGGCCAAGGUGUUUUGGAUAAUGUUCCCACUUUGACAUUAUUCAGAUUACUUGUUGAAGAAAACAUUGGCAACUGUCAGAUGGAUGUACCACAACUGACAGCACUUGGGAUGACAUCUAUGAUGACAAUGUUGUAUCCUCUUGUACAGUUAAUCGAUACAUCUAGACUCGAUCAUCUUGAAGAUACAUAUGUUAGUAACAAGUUGUCAUUAUUACCAAGAGAUAUACACUUAGUUACCGCUUCGUUGAUUAUUCAGCAUUUGGAACCAGCUGUAGGUUUGGUUUUUCAUAAAACCCAAACAACUCAAUGUUAUGGUUUUAGGGAAGCCAAUCAGGGUGAUAAAUCAAAUGCAAUAGACCUUAAACCACUUAUAUCUUCAUCUACGGAAAACAUCACUAUUUAUGAAUCUUCACUGUCUUUUGUGCACAUUGGACCAAAAGUAAAUGUCCUAAAACCACAAUUAAUGGAGCCAAUGGAACUAAAAGGAUAUGUGAUAAAAAAGUAAAAAAUGUUUCAAACAACUUUUUUCCUUAAGGCAAUGGGUCUCAAGCUGUACAGCUAAAGCAUAAAAUCACAAUUUAAGAUAUACAUGUUACAUAGAAAUUGAUCUCCAGCAAUGUGCUGUUUAUCGCCAAAAUCAACUGUUCGGCAUACGAAUAAUGACAACUAGGCUCUCUCAGUAUAAUAUGUCUUCAAAUUCAAUUAUUAAGUACUAAAUGAACUUCAGUACUUAGUAUAUAUUAUUAUAAUAUAAAUGUUUAAUAUAUGCAACAUUGCUUGCACAAAUCAAUUAAAAUUUUU